rnacentral:rRNA from 1 species
UACGUAGGGGGCUAGCGUUGUUCGGAAUUACUGGGCGUAAAGCGCGCGUAGGCGGCUUUGUAAGUUAGAGGUGAAAGCCCGGGGCUCAACCCCGGAACAGCCUUUAAGACUGCAUCGCUAGAAUCCGGGAGAGGUGAGUGGAAUUCCGAGUGUAGAGGUGAAAUUCGUAGAUAUUCGGAAGAACACCAGUGGCGAAGGCGGCUCACUGGACCGGUAUUGACGCUGAGGUGCGAAAGCGUGGGGAGCAAACAGG